AAGUCUUGAGGUGUCAUCACGUAGGAUUGCAAAUCCUAAGAAGUAGGCUAAAGCACCUGCCAAGACUUCCC
rnacentral:tRNA from 1 species